UACGUAGGGUGCGAGCGUUACUCGGAAUUACUGGGCGUAAAGCGCACGUAGGCGGCUUGGUAUGUCGGGUGUGAAAUCCCCGGGCUCAACCUGGGAACUGCAUCCGAAACUGCCUUGCUAGAGUAUGGGAGAGGGAAGUGGAAUUUCCGGUGUAGCGGUGAAAUGCGUAGAUAUCGGAAGGAACAUCAGUGGCGAAGGCGACUUCCUGGACCAAUACUGACGCUCAGGUGCGAAAGCGUGGGGAGCAAACAGG
rnacentral:rRNA from 1 species